GAAGAAUCAUAUCUUAUUCAGUACUUCAAUUUAGACAGCAAAUCCUCCCUCUUCUUCCCAAAAGUGAGCCUGAGGGGAGAAACCUUGACUCUCCAGUUGACCACUGUGUCUCUCGACACACGGCAUAUGGUGAAACGGUGUGAUGAGAGGCAUGGAAGGCCAUUACCUCAUUCACAGGAAUCUCAGCAUGGCUCUGCAACUUCAAAGAAGGCAGUUCGGGGAACAGCAGACACAGCUCCUUUGGAAAGAAUAUCUGCCGCCCGAGGAUGGGCUCUGCCUAUGGAGGCAACAGUGAGUGUCUUCAGAGCCCAUCAGUGGCAGUGGAAUUAAUGAAGAAAGCAAUGGCAGGAAAAGUUGAAUAAAGCAGACCCUUCAUGGUAAA
rnacentral:lncRNA from 10 species